rnacentral:rRNA from 1 species
GAUGAACGCUGGCGGCGUGCUUAACACAUGCAAGUCGAGCGAGUGAGUUCUUCGGAACGAUCUAGCGGCGGACGGGUGAGUAACACGUGGGCAACCUGCCUCAUAGAGGGGAAUAGCCUCCCGAAAGGGAGAUUAAUACCGCAUAAAAUUAUCGAGUGGCAUCACAUGAUAAUCAAAGGAGUAAUCCGGUAUGAGAUGGGCCCGCGGCGCAUUAGCUAGUUGGUGAGGUAACGGCUCACCAAGGCGACGAUGCGUAGCCGACCUGAGAGGGUGAUCGGCCACAUUGGGACUGAGACACGGCCCAGACUCGUACGGGAGGCAGCAGUGGGGAAUAUUGCACAAUGGGGGAAACCCUGAUGCAGCAACGCCGCGUGAGUGAUGAAGGUCUUCGGAUUGUAAAGCUCUGUCUUUGGGGACGAUAAUGACGGUACCCAAGGAGGAAGCCACGGCUAACUACGUGCCAGCAGCCGCCGUAA